rnacentral:rRNA from 1 species
UCUNCCGCAAUGGACGAAAGUCUGACGGAGCNACGCCGCGUGAGUGAUGAAGGUUUUCGGAUCGUAAAGCUCUGUUGUUAGGGAAGAACAAGUACCGUUCGAAUAGGGCGGUACAUUGACGGUACCUAACCAGAAAGCCACGGCUAACUACGUGCCAGCAGCCGCGGUAAUACGUAGGUGGCGAGCGGUGUCCGGAAUUAUUGGGCGUAAAGGGCUCGCAGGCGGUUUCGUAAGUCUGAUGUGAAAGCCCCCGGCUCAACCGGGGAGGGUCAUUGGAAACUGGGGAACUUGAGUGCAGAAGAGGAACGUGGAAUUCCACGCGUAGCGGUGAAAUGCGUAGAGAUGUGGAGGAACACCAGUGGCGAAGGCGACUCUCUGGUCUGUAACUGACGCUGAGGAGCGAAAGCGUGGGGAGCGAACAG